rnacentral:rRNA from 1 species
AAAUUUUUCUAGGGGAGACAGAAUGGUGAAAGGAAGGUGGCCUGGGUGUCGUGGGAGGUUCACACAAUGCCCAAAUAUCAAGGAGGGUUGGGAUUUCGAGACACAUAACUGUUGAACUUAGCUAUGUUGGCUAAGAAAGCGUAGAGGCUUGUCCAAGAUCCGACCUCUCUUAGUGCAAGAAUCCUCAAGGUCGUAUACUACCCGGAGAUAGAUGUGAUGCAAGAUGAACUAGGCAACAAACCUUCCCUAAUUUGGCGGGCGGUGUGCGCUGGUAUAUCGGUUUUGAAACAAGGCCGUAUCAAAAGGGUUGGGAAUGGCCAGUCGAUCCGGGCAUGGGAGGACAGCUGGUUACCUCGUGAUUUCAUGCUGAGAACACUUCAUCUGAGAACUCCGGAUCCUCCACAACGGGUCUCGGAUUUUAUAGAUGACAUACUUAUUCAUGGAAUAAAGAAAAAGUAA